CUCAACACUUGUUAUAAAAAAAAAAAAAUUAUAAUUUAAUAAAAAAAAAAAAAAAUAACGACGUGCAUAAAAGUAAAAUCGUAACAAAAUACUGUUAUGUUAUAUGCAUAUAUAUAUAUAUAUAUAUUUAUCAUACCUUAAUUUUUUACGAAACAAUUAUAAAAUAAAAAAUUACAAAAACACUAAGAGAAAAUUAUUGUUAAUGUAUUUUUUUUUUUUAUUUUAAAAGUAAAAAUAUUUUUAAUAAAAAAUUAAGGAUAUUAGCAAUAUUACUACAAGUUGUAUAUAUAAAUAUACGUAUACAUAUGUAUGUAAAUAUGUAUAAAUCUAUGUAAAUAAAAACAGAAACACAAUGAAGUAUUCCCAUUUUAAGAGCUCUUUAAGGUUUGCGAGUAAGCUUUACCAAAACAACAACUACAAGCUAUAUUUAAAUAGCGUACCACAGUUUUCCACCUAUGCAUAUGGGAAAUUUGUAAAAACAAACCCGUUAACAAAUAGACUUGACCAUUUAUCAUCAAAAAACACAAGUUUGAUCAGUAUACUGAGUAUAAAUGGGUUAGAUGAAUUGAUCACUCAAUCGUCGAAAAUUGAAUCGGUUUCAAUUGCUGACUGGUUAUUGAACCUUGUGGAAGAAUAUCAAUCAAAGGAAAGAUGCGUAUAUAAUGUUAGUACAUAACUGCACGCGCAACUACAUGACACUCACACACACACACACACACACCUAUAUAUAUAUAUAUAUAUAUGUUCAUGUUUUUAUGUUGCGG
ensembl:lncRNA